UUUCAGUUCACUAAAGAUGGGAGUUUGGAUGGGAAUAGUACUACUUGUUCGAUCUGUUUGUGCGAGUACAAGGAUUUGGAGAUGUUAAGAAUGAUGCCGGAGUGCAGGCAUUAUUUUCACUUAUGUUGUAUCGAUGCUUGGUUGAAGCUGAAUGGGUCGUGUCCUGUUUGUCGGAAUUCACCGCUUCCAACUCCGCUUUCUACACCCUUAUCGGAGGUCGUGCCGUUGUCCCAGUACGCGGAGGAUCGAAGGAGGAGGAGGUGAUUUGAGUUUGUUUGAUUGUUUGUGAACUGGUGGUGAGUGAUUCGGGGAUCUUGAUUGGUGUGUUUUGGGAUUAGGAUUGUAAAUUGUUUUUUCUUUUUUUGGUUUCUGAGUAGGCAUAGCUAGUGGGAUUUUGGAUUUUCAUUUUUGUUACAGAUGAU
rnacentral:misc_RNA from 1 species